AGAAUGAUGGCAGCACCCCAUAUGGGGGGCCCUCCCGUGAUGCCAAUGAUGGGCCCUCCUCCUCCUGGGAUGAUGCCAGUGGGACCUGCUCCUGGAAUGAGGCCACCCAUGGGAGGCCACAUGCCCAUGAUGCCUGGGUGCCCAAUGAUGAGACCUCCUGCCCGUCUCAUGAUGGUGCCCAGUCAGCCCAAAAUGACUUGACCAGACAGAU
rnacentral:lncRNA from 10 species